ACUUAUGUUUAUUCUGUGCAUUUUUUGGAGGUUUUGAUUAAUCAAAAGAAGAGAGAUCUGUUUACUUGACAUUAAUUUCGAUAGUUUUUUUCAUAUUACAUAAAUCGUUUUAAUACUUUCAAAGGGGUUCGUUCGAAAGUUCGUUAUGAUUCUUGUUCGUUGCCCAUCAGCUCCAUGGUGAAGUUGGCAUAGUAAUUGCCAUUGUCAACCUACAGAAGUCCACUGCUGGACAUAGGUCUCCUCCCAAAAUAGGAUGACCAUAAUCGCAACGCUUGCCAUGUGGAUUGUCGAGGCCAUUUUUUAAAUACUCGGAGAACGCUAGCUGCUGUCUAUUCUCUGAAGAAUCGUCGUCUUUUACUACAACCAAGAAAGGCAAUGGGGAGGUACUAGUAUUUUUUGAGGUAGACAUCCCACAGCAUCACACAGCAUCACACAACAUGGCAUAGCAUAGCAUGGCAUGGCAUAGCAUGGCAAGGCAUAGCUUAGCAUAUCUAGUUUAAUUUGGCAUAUAACGUUACGAGUAAGUGCCAUCAAGCCUUUUGGCUAUUGUGGACGGCAAAUUGGAGGGUGAACUAAAAAAAUGUUAUUGGGGACUUAUGGGGAAGUGGUAAAUAGUAAUACGUCUCAAGUACUGUAUAGGUUUUGUUUUCACCGCCCACUAAGGUAUUGUUUGUGGAUUAUUGGAACUAACUCAGCUAUUACGUCUCAAUCAAACGUAAUUUUGAUAUGUGUGACUUUCAAACGCUGAAAAACAUACUGAAUCGUGAAACUAAAACUUUAAUUUUCGACUCAAUGAACAAAUGAAUAUCAAAACAACACGAGAUUUGCGAUUGGUGGUAGGACCUCUUGGGAGUCCGCACGGGUAGGUACCACCACCCCGCCUAUUUCCGCCGUGAAGCAGUAAUGCGUUUCGGUUCGAAGGGUGGGGCAGCCGUUGUAACUAUACUGAGAUCUUAGAACUUAUAUCUCAAGGUGGGUGGCGCAUUUACGUGGUAGAUGUCUAUGGGCUCCAGUAACCACUGAACACCAGGUGGGCUGUGAGCUCGCCCACCCAUCAAAGCAAUAAAAUAAAAUAAAAAAUAUACUGACAAUAGAUUUGAAAUUAAGAUAAAAAAUUGUUUUAUCGUACUUUUUUUUUCUUGAUAAAAUGAGUUAUUUACGUUUCUUUGAACACGCUCUCAUUAUUAGCCUGACCCGUAUCUAUCCAUGUAGCGGAAUCUUCCAACGUGAUUUGCACUUGUAUCGAGGACCGAUGACAAUACAGUAUUUUUUUAUCACAUUGGCAUAAUAUUCUGACAAUGAUCACAAACAUAAAAAAAAUCAAAUUUUUUUAUUUAUAAAAAGCGUACGUUCUAUUUUUAAUAAACCAAUAUUUAUUGCAUUGCUUUUUUUUUUAAACUUCUCUAUAGUACUCAACACUCAACAGUAUAGGAACAGAUCGUGAAUGUCAGGCAGAUUAUUGAGGAAUGCCGGAGUUCAACCUUGCGAUGCUUCACGUUGACUAACUCAAAAGCAUUCGAUUGUGUCAAAUGGGAAUGCCUAUGGAAUAUCCUAACAGAUAUGGGGGUACCACAGCUACUCAUCGUUCUUCGCAAACCUGUACCAAGAAUGAAAGCACAAUAGUAAAGGUCAACAACGUCCUGUUAAAGCCCUUUAAGCCUGAAAAAGCUAACACCGUAGAGUUGUAUAUUGUGUCCGAUUCUUUUUAAUAUUUAUGGGGAAUACAUUACUAGGCGAGCCUUAGAUGGCUGGGAGGGUAGGGUAUCCAUUGGCAUUGACAUUGGCAAGAAAAUCAGCAACCUCCGUUAUGAAAUUGACACCACAAUGUUCGCAUCAUCCGAGCAAGAACGAGCCCAACUCUUUACUAGGGUGGAGGAGUGUGAAUUAAUUGGCCAUACCAUUAAUAAGGCGAAGACCAAGGUAUAGAUAGGAGACAGACCUGGUAUGGUUAUUUGCCCUAAUGAAUUUCAAGACUUGGAAUUUGUUGAUCAGUUAAUUUAUUUUGGCUAUCUUCUUAGUGACGAGGGUGGCAGCGAAAAAGAGGGACCCAGAAAAACCCAAAUCUCCAAAGGAACAAUGACUAAAUUGACUAAAAUGACUAAAUUGAUAUGGAAAGACCGUAAUAUAUUCCACAAAUCCAAAGUGAAGCUGAUACGUACAUUGGUCUUCUCAAUUUUCCUUUAUGGUCCCAAAUCCUGGACGAUAAAACAGAGUGAGAAGGCAAAGAUCAACGCUUUUGAAAUGUGGUACUGCAGGCGGUUGUUGGGAAUUCUAUGGACUGCACGCCGGACCAAUUUAUACAUUCUGAAGGAGUUCGAUAUUACCACAGAACUGUCUGCUAUCAGCUUCCAACGUAUUCUCAUGUACUUCGGUCACAUCUCUCGUAGAGACCCCAAUAACUUAAGAGAAGCUGAUGGUAUGUAGUUGGUCAGGUUGACGGGAGAAGAUCACGCGGCGCUCACCUACCCGCUGGUCUGAUCUGGUAAAGCCACUCACCGGCCUGUUAAUAACCGAGGAUAUAAAGACUACCGAGAAUAGGAAGACGUGGGGAAGCAUAGUGCAUCGAGUGAUCAACAUUUAAAACUAAACACGACCUUCAGCAAUGAAGAGACCGACUCAGAAGAAGAAAAAGAGAAUUACUCAAAUAAUAUUUUCCUGAAAACCCCCUUCGAACACUCCAACAGUUUGGGACGACAUACCAAUAUGUCAUAUACCAAGAAAUACGAGUAUAUCAAGCUAUUUAAAUAUUCACAAUUUCCAAUGAUGCUUCGAGUGUCGACGUUUCAUCUUGCCCACAAACGAAAUAAGCGGAAUCGAGUUUGCCGUGGUAACUUGUGGAACCAGAUGGGCGUGCAAUGACAUUUAAGAAUCUACCACCGGAUCAGAAUCGCGACCCAACAAGAAGAUCCGUCGAGAAACUAAGUGGGUGGACCUCUGUGGAAGACAUUAAUACACACAUGUAAAUUAUUGUUUUACUUGCAUAGUUUGCACAGUUGCCUCACUCGUCAUUAUAAAACCGAGCUCUGCCAUUGGACAGAUCAAAUCACCAAAACGUGUUUCAAUGUGGUAUUUGAAAAUCGGAGAACGUACGUUUGGUUUUAAAGGUUUGGUUUACUAACCAAACCCUGAAUUGGAGUACUCCUCAACCCCAUAUCUUGAGAUGAACGAUGAUAUUCACACCACCCAAGUAACAAUUGCCACUUAGAUCUAUAAAAAAAAAAGACUUGUGUACGCACGGAAUUAGCAAUGUGUAAAUUGACAUCGACAGUAAUAGUAGGUAAUUAACUCUCGAAUUACAAUCAGUUUGUCUACAACAUAUUAUCUUGUUUUCCCUACCUAUGUUGGUAGCAUUGAAAGGCUAUACCAGCGUAAUCUAACGUGUAGGUGAGCUCUCGGGACUCAGCCCUGGGGGUGUUGCUAAAACUCGCCUUAGCAGCAGCAGUGCUUCGUAGAAUCUACCACCGGAUCGGAAACGCGACCCAUUGAGGAGAUACGGCUAGAAACUCAGUGUGCAGAGUUUCUAGCCGUUAGUUUAGUUUACUCAUAGGUUAGGUUAGUUUACUCAUUGAACCAUUCGUCGCAAGCGAUGGGUUUGACGAGAACGGUGACCGGUGCUUGAGGUAUCAAAAAUCACCGUUAGUGAAUCGGGAGGAUUCGAAAUGACGUAGUUAGGACGAAGUCGUGUUUACCAUCAUAUUCUCAAUGCGGUGACAGCGCACUUGAACUAAAUUCUUGGACAUUUGAUGUCAAAGGGGAUUGCCCACUCUCCAUAGUGUGCUAGGCCCAAGAUGGACAUCAAAUAUUACUAUAAAAAUGUACUGAUUCAAAUUCUUAAAUGUAUUAGAUAUCUAAAAAAUAUAUUGAAAUUGACGCCACUAUUAUAAAAAAUAUAAUAAAAAUAAAAACUCGUUUUGAGGUUAAUUUUUUAUAUAAAUAAGUGUCGGAUUGUGAGAUACUUCAAGAACUUUUCUUUUCUUAAUGUUUAAGAUGUUCCUAAUGUAUUUUUAUACAAUAGGGUAUAAAAACACACUUAAUUCUUUAAAUAUCUAUAUUUUCUUCAUCUUCAUACACAAUUAGUAUCAUCUAAAAAUAGCAAAGGAGAGCAUAUACACGGUUUUAAAUCUCGGUCAGGGUAAAACCACAAUUCACACAAUGUUUUUUAGUCCUAGUAUGAAACGUUAUUGAUAAAAGUAAAAUAAAUCGAAGAAAAAUCAAAACACAUCCAUUUUGUACGCAAGCACAACACCACAAGCAGCAAGCGAAGUAUCAGUCAGUCAGAUUAAAUUCAGUGUUGUCAGUAUAAAGAAAAAUAAUUACAUGAAAUUCAUAUAUCGAUUAUUUUUUUAAAUAACCGAUAAUUGAUUUAUAUCUUAAUCUUUUUUUUACGAGUACACAUUAUUUUUUAUGUUUUUGUUUUAGGUGUACACAUUUAAAUAACAAUACUAGUAAAGUUUUUUUUAUUGCUUAGAUGGGUGGGCGAGCUCACAGCCACCCUGGUGUUGCUAAGUGGUUACUCGAGCCCACAUACAUCUACAACGUAAAUGCGCCACCCACCUUGAGAUAUAAGUUCUAAGGUCUCAAGUACCUAUAGUUACAAGUUAAAGUCCAAUGGGUAUGUCUUCGAUGUUAUUUUAUGUGCAUAAAAUCCAUUAAAAUCGUUUGAUUAAUGAUAAUACUUAUAAUGAUUUAUUUAUAUGUUUUAUUUAUAUACUCAAAAUAUUUACUUCAUACGUAAAAGGAUUUGAAGCUGGCAAUAUUUUUCCCGCAAAAAUAAAAAUCCUUGUUUUUUCAAUAGAGUUACUUUUUUUAAACUACUUAUUGUAAACUGUAGUGGCGCUUAUUUGCAAGAAUGUAAAUGCAUAUUUAUUUAUGACAAAAUUAAUGCACUAAGUAUUUUUUCUAUAAUCUAUUGUCCGCUUUGGGCCUAAAAUGGGCCAUCCCCUUUGCUACUAAGUUACGGUUGGGUUCGUCACCAUUUUGCCUGCCAGUAACCUCAUGCUAGCUUCACCGAACGUGGAGCUCGCCUUAUUUUCAAUAUCCUUACAUCACAAACUAUGUUGUUUUUUUUUAAAUAAAAUAUGAUAGCGAGUUUCUUCGUAUCGGUGAUGAAUUGCACUCCUAACCAUUGUUAGAUAUUAGAAUUAACUAGCCCCUACUUGAAUAAAACUCUUUGAUUUGAUUUAAUAGUGUUAGUCGGCAAGAUUUAACUAUAUUUAAUAUAUUCUUCAAAAUUACAGUUUCUACAGGAGAUGAGUUGGUUUUGAGCAUAUUUGUAUGUUUAUUGAUAUUAAAUACGAUGUUACGGUAGAAUGUAUAGAUAAUAAUUUCUAUUACAAAACAGAGAUAAUGCGAAAGAAUAAUAAAAUAUUUAUUAUCUGAUCAUAGCGGAAACCAUUUUGAAA